UACGUAGGUGGCAAGCGUUGUCCGGAAUUAUUGGGCGUAAAGCGCGCGCAGGCGGUCCUUUAAGUCUGAUGUGAAAGCCCACGGCUCAACCGUGGAGGGUCAUUGGAAACUGGGGGACUUGAGUGCAGGAGAGAAGAGUGGAAUUCCACGUGUAGCGGUGAAAUGCGUAGAGAUGUGGAGGAACACCAGUGGCGAAGGCGGCAUCCUGGACCAAUUCUGACGCUGAGGAGCGAAAGCCAGGGGAGCAAACGGG
rnacentral:rRNA from 1 species